rnacentral:rRNA from 1 species
GACGAACGCUGGCGGCGUGCUUAACACAUGCAAGUCGAACGGAAAGGCCCUGCUUUUGUGGGGUGCUCGAGUGGCGAACGGGUGAGUAACACGUGAGUAACCUGCCCUUGACUUUGGGAUAACUUCAGGAAACUGGGGCUAAUACCGGAUAUGAGCUCCUGCUGCAUGGUGGGGGUUGGAAAGUUUCGGCGGUUGGGGAUGGACUCGCGGCUUAUCAGCUUGUUGGUGGGGUAGUGGCUUACCAAGGCUUUGACGGGUAGCCGGCCUGAGAGGGUGACCGGCCACAUUGGGACUGAGAUACGGCACAGACUCCUACGGGAGGCAGCAGUGGGGAAUAUUGCACAAUGGGCGGAAGCCUGAUGCAGCAACGCCGCGUGCGGGAUGACGGCCUUCGGGUUGUAAACCGCUUUCGCCUGUGACGAAGCGUGAGUGACGGUAAUGGGUAAAGAAGCACCGGCUAACUACGUG